CUGAAAGCCCUGGAUGCUAAUAAUUUUACAGCUCCUCUGUGAUAGCUGAAGAGUGGCAGUGCUCACUGCUUUCUGAUCUUCAUCACCGCUAUAUACAAGUCAGUGGGUCUCGUCAGUUUCUCUGAUGAGUAGCAGUGGCAUCAGAUCAAUGUGUUUUUAAUACUUACGAACUGUAUGCAGUGCAUUCAUCAAAGUAGCUUAUGAAGAAGCUUUCCUUGAAAUUCACCCGCAGAUCAUUUUACACAAAAAUAUAAGUUGUACAUAAAAUAUUCGUAAUUGAAUAUUCAGGGUUUAUUGUCAAUAAUGCUUCUGUUUUGUGAGAAUUUCUGUCCCAAAACCAUUUUUCACAAACUAGGGUAUGUAUGAAGAGACAUUUAAGAGAAGAAACUUUUUUAUUAUUAUAUCUAUAUCAUAAUAGAUAUUGAUGAGUGCUUGUAUAGUAAUCAUCAUUACCUAUUGUAAGAUCAUAGGGAGACUACUACAGGAAUGAUUUUAAAAGUUAAUAGAGACUACUUCCAGGACUGAUUGUAAAACAAUGGAGACUACUUCCAGGAAUGAUUGUAAAACAAUGGAGACUACUUCCAGGAAUGAUUGUAACAUUGAAUGCUUCAAAAAUUCAAAUUUUAAAGACUAAAUACUGCUUCAAAAAUUAUUGCUUGACAAUGGUGAUCACUUCAUAAAUGAUUGCAAGACUGAAGACUACUUCAUGAAUGAUUGAUAGAAUAGACUAUUUUAAGAAUUACUGUAAAACUAGGGACUACUUCAGUAAUAAUUUUAAAAUAAUGGAAUUUAUUUCAAGAAUGGUUGUAAGAUUAUAGAGUACAUACUUCAGGAGUGUUUCUUAUUUUCCUUUAGCAUUGCAUAAAAUAUUGUUACAUAAACCUGUUUAAAAUUGUGUAUUUUACCUACAAACCAUUUUGUUUAACCUCUCUUCAUUAUGAUUUAUCAUAAACAUUUAAUUUUUCAUUUUGUCUUGUACUAUAAUACUCUUCAGUUUCUUUCCAGAAAUGUUGAGAUAAACUUUAAAAAUGUAAUUGCUGUUUCUUAAAUAACAAGAAGGCACAAUACCGUGACUGGAACAGUACACAAAUAACCAGCACAUAGGAGAGAGGAGCUUGCGACGACGUUUCAGACCGAAACAUCGUCAUAAGCUCCUCCCUCCUAUGUGCGGGUUAUUUGUAUAGUGUGCUGUUUUUUAUUUUAACAAAUAUUGUGAAAUUUUGCCUUGCAAGGUUGUUAUUAUUAUUGCUCUACUUUUCUUGGACACGUUUCCUUCAGAUAGAUUCAUUCACGGAAUUCACAAUAAAUGUUGUUCUUAAAAUGUGCUUAACACUUUUCUCUUGUCAGAUGUAAUAAUUUUUUUCUGAAAUUGAUAAAUAAUGCACCACUCAAUGUGAGAAUUUAUUUGUCAUUUCAGUAUGAGAAUUUAGUUGUCAUUUAAAUAUGCUUUAUUUAUGUAAGAUUUCAUGCUUAAAUGGUACAAUGUGUAUGUUAAGUUUUGUUUAAUAUAUAUAACCUGAGUAA